GAGUUUGAUCAUGGCUCAGGACGAACGCUGGCGGCGUGCUUAACACAUGCAAGUCGAACGGUGAAGGGGCCUGCUUUUGUGGGUCCUGGAUGAGUGGCGAACGGGUGAGUAGCAUGUGAGUAACCUGCCCCCUUCUUCUGGAUAACCGCAUGAAAGUGUGGCUAAUACGGGAUAUUCUGGGUCUGUCGCAUGGUGGGCCUGGGAAAGGUUUUUUCCGGUGGGGGAUGGGCUCGCGGCCUAUCAGCUUGUUGGUGGGGUGAUGGCCUACCAAGGCGGUGACGGGUAGCCGGCCUGAGAGGGUGGACGGUCACACUGGGACUGAGACACGGCCCAGACUCCUACGGGAGGCAGCAGUGGGGAAUAUUGCACAAUGGGCGCAAGCCUGAUGCAGCGACGCCGCGUGAGGGAUGGAGGCCUUCGGGUUGUGAACCUCUUUCGCCAGUGAAGCAGGCCUGCUCCUUUUUUGUGGGUGGGUUGACGGUAGCUGGAUAAGAAGCGCCGGCUAACUACGUGCCAGCAGCCGCGGUAAUACGUAGGGCGCGAGCGUUGUCCGGAAUUAUUGGGCGUAAAGAGCUCGUAGGCGGCUGGUCGCGUCUGUCGUGAAAUCCUCUGGCUUAACUGGGGGCUUGCGGUGGGUACGGGCCGGCUUGAGUGCGGUAGGGGAGGCUGGAACUCCUGGUGUAGCGGUGGAAUGCGCAGAUAUCAGGAGGAACACCGGUGGCGAAGGCGGGUCUCUGGGCCGUUACUGACGCUGAGGAGCGAAAGCGUGGGGAGCGAACAGGAUUAGAUACCCUGGUAGUCCACGCCGUAAACGUUGGGCACUAGGUGUGGGGGGCCUUUUCCGGGUUUUCCGCGCCGUAGCUAACGCAUUAAGUGCCCCGCCUGGGGAGUACGGCCGCAAGGCUAAAACUCAAAGGAAUUGACGGGGGCCCGCACAAGCGGCGGAGCAUGCGGAUUAAUUCGAUGCAACGCGAAGAACCUUACCAAGGCUUGACAUGUGCCGGUCUGCUCCGGAGACGGGGUUUCCUCCCUUGUGGGGGCUGGUUCACAGGUGGUGCAUGGUUGUCGUCAGCUCGUGUCGUGAGAUGUUGGGUUAAGUCCCGCAACGAGCGCAACCCUUGUCUCGUGUUGCCAGCACGUUGUGGUGGGGACUCGCGGGAGACUGCCGGGGUCAACUCGGAGGAAGGUGGGGAUGACGUCAAAUCAUCAUGCCCCUUAUGUCUUGGGCUUCACGCAUGCUACAAUGGCCGGUACAGAGGGCUGCGAUACCGUGAGGUGGAGCGAAUCCCUUAAAGCCGGUCUCAGUUCGGAUCGGUGUCUGCAACUCGACACCGUGAAGUUGGAGUCGCUAGUAAUCGCAGAUCAGCAACGCUGCGGUGAAUACGUUCUCGGGCCUUGCACACACCGCCCGUCAAG
rnacentral:rRNA from 1 species